rnacentral:piRNA from 1 species
UGUCCAAACGUUAUUAAAAGU